ensembl:lncRNA
CUCACUGCGUCUUCCACCUUCUCCACCUGAGUGUGCACCACAGGACUCACUGCGUCUUCCACCUUCUCCACCUGAGUGUGCACCACAAGACUCACUGCGACUCACUGCGUCUUCCACCUUCUCCACCUGAGUGUGCACCACAGGACUCACUGCGUCUUCCACCUUCUCCACGUUAACAUCCUCUACAGUGUACUCUGUACUUUCUUUCUCCACCAGAAUGUCUUCUACGAGGCUCACCAUCUCCUCUUCCUCCUCCUUCUCGGCUACAGUGUCCUCCACUGGGCUCACUGUCCUGGGCUCCUCCUCGUUCUCCGCCUGAACUUCCACCACCGUCUCCUCCUCCUUCUCCAUUUCCUCUUCAAUAACUCGGUCUUCUUCCAUUCCUUGUCCAUCUUCUUUUUGAUCGUACUGCUUGUUCAUGGCAGUGUUUGCAGAGUUCAGCUCCAGGUCCUUCUGAACGACUGUCUGUUCUUCCACGAUUUCGUUAUUGAGUAUCGGGUCAGGAAUCAGGUACCGGGGCUCUGCGAGAGAACAAGCAGUACAGAGAUCAUUACAGGGUUUUUGAUUUGCUUUAGCAUAAAUAUGAAUAUGGUGGUGUAUUGAUGUAUGGUGGUGUAACAGUAAAUAAUGAAGUGGACUUAUCAGAAGGUGUUAUAUACUUAUAUGCAGGUCUUUAAAAAGUUAUAAUUUUGUCUGAAACUCAAUUUUUUUUUUUCCAAUUAAAAGCCUUAAAGGGAUAGUUCACCCAAAAAUGGAAAUUCUGUCAUCAGUUACUCACCCUCAUGUCGUUCCAAACCCGUACGACUUUCAUUCAUCUUUGGAACACAAAUGAAGAUGUUUUUAAUGAAACCUGUGAGAUUUCUGUUCCUCCAUUGGCAGUCCAAGUAACCAAAACGUUCACGCUCCAAAAAGAUGAAAGUCCCAAAGAUGAAAGUUUUAUGGGUUUGGAACGACACGAGGGUGAGUAAUUGAUGACGGAUCACCCAAAAAUGAAAAUUUUAUCACUUUAAAACAGUAUUAAAGUAUAAAAUUAUUGUUAAAGUAUUAACACUUUA